CGGCGGACGGGUGAGUAACACGUGGGUAACCUACCUAUAAGACUGGGACAACUUCGGGAAACCGGAGCUAAUACCGGAUAAGAUACCGAACCGCAUGGUUCGAUAGUGAAAGAUGGUUUUGCUAUCACUUAUAGAUGGACCCGCGCCGUAUUAGCUAGUUGGUGAGGUAACGGCUCACCAAGGCAACGAUACGUAGCCGACCUGAGAGGGUGAUCGGCCACACUGGAACUGAGACACGGUCCAGACUCCUACGGAGGCAGCAGUG
rnacentral:rRNA from 1 species